AAAAAACAGAAUCAGGAGUUUGAUUUCGCAUUUGCGGAUGCUGACAAGUCAAACUACCCCAACUUCCAUGAGAGGCUUCUGAAAUUGGUGAAGGUUGGAGGAAUCAUUGCGUUUGACAACACCUUGUGGUUUGGUUUUGUGGCUGAGGACGAAGAGGGAGUUCCUGAUCAUAUGAGGGAAUAUAGAGAGGCUCUUAUAGAGUUCAAUAAGAAAUUGGCUUUGGAUACUCGUGUCGAAGUCUCUCAGAUUUCCAUUGGGGAUGGUGUCACGCUCUGCAGACGCCUUAUAUGAUCAAAAGACUACUUAAGAAUAAAGAUUAAAGUUUGAGAGUUUGGAAUAAAUUAAUGGUGAGUUAGAUACUUCAAUAAUCACUUUUCGUCAUUUUAUCACUGAUUUUCAUUUAAUCGUGUGUUUGAUUGAUGAUCACUCCACAUCUUCUUCGCAUACUCAUCUGUUGAACAAUGAUCGUUAGAAAACAAAAUUUUAAUUUGUGUCACUACAACAAAAAUGUGUUUUAAUAGCGGACAAAUAACGCUAUAUAACAAUACUAUCGCGGUUUUUGAAGGGAUGUAUCAUCGCCCGUCAUAAUAGGUAAAUAACAUCACAUAGCGCUAUCGUAUCGGAAGAAAAGAUAGCAGCGUAAAAAAACCGCUAUGUAAUGUUCUUUACCUAUUAUGACGGGCGAUGAUACAUCCCUUCAAAAACCUAGGGGGUGAACCCAAGAAUAACUCAUUAAAUAUUAUUUAAUAGCGUGUCAUAAAUGCUAUUACUUAUAUUAAAAUUCUUUAUAUUAAAAUUAUUUAUGGAAAUUUAAUUGUUUAAAAAUAAAAACAUAAUUAAAAUUUAAAUUGGUUUAUAUAUUUAAAAUUUUGUUUAUUAUUUAAACUGAUUUAUAAUAAAACUGGUUUACAAAAAGAAUAUGGUAUACAAAUUAGAAAAUAAAUCAAAACUAAACCAAAAACUUAAACCAAGAUUUAACCUAAACCUAUUUACUAACUAAACCUAAUACAGUAACGACUAAACCAAUCUUCUUAACUCCGCCGUCUUCGACCUCUCUGGCUUCCGCGUCUUCGUGCCUCCGCCUCCUCAUGCCCCCGCCUCAAAUCACCUUUCUCUGAACCACAUCUACCUCCGCCUCCGUCUCUGGUUCGUAACACCUCCGUCUCUGGUUCGUAACACCUCAGGUGCAUCUCCGCUAUGUCAACCUUCACCUCUGGCGCGCAUCCCUUUCAUCAUUAUUCCAGAUCUGUGAGCAAAAAGUAAUAGAUUUUAUUAGAAAAUAAAAGAUGAAAAGAGCUGAACACGAAAGAAGCGACAACCCAAAGAGGAGGAGGCGAGGUCAUGGUGAUGGUGGUGAGCUUGAACCCGUUACGACAGACGACGAGUUUGAGAGAUCGUGAGAUGAGGAUUGAAUAGGUGAUGAAAGAGGAGGAUUGAUAGGAGAAGAUGAUUGCAGGAUAUGAGAUGAUGGGAGAGGAGGAUUUCAGAUGAGUUAUCGUGAGCAAGAAGAAUAUAUAUAUAUAUAUAUAUAUAUAUAUAUAUAUAUUUCUUUGUAAAUAAAAUUCUCUGAUUAAUCCAGUAUAUUUGAUAUUUCAAAAAAGGAAAAAAAAAACAAGGCUGUGUAUAUAUAUACCCUAAUACUCUACCACUAACCACUAAUUAAUUUAUCCGUCAGUUUUUUCUUUACAUAGAGAGCUAGAUAGAAGAAAAAUCUGCUAUAUUAUCGAUGAUGGAAAACGAGAACUGGAUCUAUGGAAAAGUUUGGGAUCAAGAAGGAAACCCAAAGAACUCAAUACGUGAUGAAGAAGUAACGUCAGGAAAACUGAGUGCAGACUUUGUAUUGAGUCAGGAAGACGAUGAUUAUAGACGGCGUCGUAGCAUCUAUCUGAAGAGCUACAGUUUGAAGAAGGCCAAAUCCAAUGCAGACAUACGUCGCGACAUAUCAUCUGCUAGUAAGUUUCUGUAUCGGUUGAAGAAACUCGUCAGCUCUGGACAUCAUCGUCGAAUGUGAUAAGUACAGUACAAAGACUUGCGGUCGUACUUUGGUUAUGGCUAGGGUUUAUGCAUGUGUAUUAUACAGAUGAAGUGUUUCCCUUACUUCUGAUUUACAUAUGUUUUGUUAGUUUAAUAGUUUGCUUGAAUAAACUAUACUUUUACCAAAUUUGUGGUUUCAUCUCAUCAGAAUAAUAUCGAGAUUAAGCAUCUGUUUUUUUUUAUUAAUUACUUGUAGAUAAGGAUAAAGUUUACAAUGAUGUACAUACAAGAUAAAUACAUAAUCUACAGAAAACAAUGCUUUAUUUAUUGAAAAGUUUUAAUGUGCUUCUUAAUCAGAUCCAUCUGAUUGCGAUUUUCCGUUUUAGCUAUCAACCACUACAUGAAACUCCAAGAUUCUGCAGAAGGCUUUUAUAUUUCGUACAUCAUCUUCGAUGUAUUUUCCUAUUUUUAUUUAUAAAACUAUGUGUUUUUCUUUACCAUGUGCAGAAAUAAUAAAAAAUAAAAAUAAAAAUAAAAAUUUAUUAGUUUUAGCUUUUAUUUUCUACUUACAAUAUUUAAUUUUAAAUUUGAAAUCAAUUAUAUCUAAAAAUUACUAUAAAAUAAAUAAUUUUUAUAUUAAUAUUUAUAUUUAAUAAUAUAUAUGUAUAUAUUUAAAAUAAUAAUCUUUGAAAUAUUUUUAUUUAUUUCUUUUGGUUAAAAUAUAUCUAAUAAAAUUUUAUAAAAUUAAGAGAAAAAUUCGUUAUAUAUAAUUAUCAAAACGUAAAACUAAAUAAUAUUUCUAAAAUUUGUAGAUAUUAAAAGGAAACUAGUGCAUUGAGAUUAGAAAAAGAAAUUUUAAACAUAAAAAUUUGAAGAAUUGUGUUAAUAAGAUAAAUUAUAUUAUUGUAAACAGUACAAUUAAAUAAUAUUUCAAAAAAAUAAAAUAAUGUUAUAUUUAUAUUUCUACUAUUAUAUUAUUUGUUGUUAUAUUAAUGAUGAUCUAUGAAUUAUUACCAUAUUAUAAAAAAACUUAACAAAAAUAUAAAUCAACAUUAAAUGUGAAUGUUCAUGUCACAAUUAGGUUCAAGUCAUGUCAUCAUUGUUAAAAAGAUAUGUUAUCGUUUUUUUUUCAAAGUCAUCAUUGUUAAUACAAUAUGUCAUCAUUUUCUUUUUCAAAAUCAACGUUGUAAAGACACAUGACAACUGACUUUUCAAAUAAUGGGAAUAUGAAGUAUACUAAAAAGUUUCCAUAUUGAUAUGCAUCCAGAAAAUGCUCUUAGAAAAUUAACCCAGAGAAAUAAAAAAUGGAAAACCCGUUGAAAGACGGUGACCAAAUACAGCUGACAACUGAGACGGGGAGAAGAUGAAGAACUCGUGAAGCUUCACAAAGGCUAAGAGAUGAAUCUGUAUGACAUCCAUACUUUUAAAUUUUUCUAACUAAAUCUGAUGAUGAAUUCUUCAAAUUAAUGACAUUGCUAUAUAACUUUUUAUAGAAAAAAGGAAAAAAAAAGUCACGCAUCACAGCCAAUAAUUUAUAAGACUAGUCAAUGAAUAAUACAUUGUAGAUUGGUCAUCCACUAGUACUCCCCCCCCACCCCACAACAUCUUUCAACACUUCUAGCUUGAAAAUAAAUAAAAGUAAGUAUAUUAGCAUCGAAAACGAACCAAAUAAUUGAAUUUCAUUUUUGAUAAUUGAAUUUCAUACCUAAGCCUUGAUUGAAAAGUCGUCGAUAAGAUCCAUAUUUUUGUUCUUUUUGACAACAGAUAAGAUCCAUAGUUAUUGGUCCCUAAUUCUCGCAUUAGACUCUUUUACCCUUAGCUGCACAAUUAGUUUGACCAGAAGUUGCCAGUACUGACCAAAGUGUAAAUCUAUGUGUCUGUUUAUAACUAUUAACUAAGACACCUUCCAAACGUAUCCUCACAAUCACGAGACUGAGAGAUGGCGGAUGAAAUACCUUCCAAAGGGAUCCUCAAGAGCGAAGCUCUGAAGCAGGUUUUUGUUUCUUUUUAUAGUUUUCUUUCAAAACUUUACAUGAUCAACAUAUACGUUUUGUUAAUAUGCAAAGUUUGGUUUUGUCUGGAUAUAAGAAAAGAUCUUUGAUAUGUUUGGUUGUAUUCGACCGUCACAGUACAUCUUAGAAACGUCAGCAUAUCCAAGAGAGCAUGAGCUGCUCAGGGAACUUCGUAAAGCUACAGUGCAGAAAUAUGGCAAUUUGUAAGUCUUCUUAUUUUAAUCAAUAGGAUCCUAAUUAAACCAGUUAUAUUUUUAUUGGUUUUUAAUUGAAUUUUCUUUAAUGAAAAUGCAGAAGCGAGAUGGAAGUUCCGGUUGAUGAGGGCCUUUUUCUCUCGAUGCUUUUAAAGAUUACGAACGCUAAGAACACUCUCGAGCUCGGUGUUUUCACCGGCUACUCUCUUCUCACCACAGCCCUUGCUUUGCCAAAGGAUGGCCGCGUAAUGUUUCUGCUUCUUGCUAUAAUCGUUUAUAUUAUUUACAUAGUAUAUACUUUAGCAUGUGGAGCUAAAACGAUGAAAAAAUAAUCUUUAGCAAGUUUUAAAUAAGAAAUAUAAAUUGGGACUCAUAACCUUUUUAAGUAAUUCUUUUGACAGAUCAACUAUCUAUUUGAUAAACAAAAUUUACAUAGGCUCCAUAAAUAGUUUGAGAUUGUCCAACGUUCUAGAACAAUAUUUUGGAUGCAGAUUACUGCAAUAGAUAUUGACAAAGAAGCCUACGAAGUGGGACUAGAGUUUAUCAAGAAGGCAGGUGUUGAUCACAAGAUCAAUUUCAUUCAUUCCGAUGGUAUUACGGCCCUAGACCAAUUGGUGAAUGAUGUACGUUAAAAAAAAUAUGUUCCUAUUAUUUAGUAAUUAAGCUGAACUUACUAUUUCUGACUAAUGAUCGUACGUACAUAUUCCACAUUUGAAACAAAAAAACAGAAUCAGGAGUUUGAUUUCGCAUUUGCGGAUGCUGACAAGUCAAACUACCCCAACUUCCAUGAGAGGCUUCUGAAAUUGGUGAAGGUUGGAGGAAUCAUUGCGUUUGACAACACCUUGUGGUUUGGUUUUGUGGCUGAGGACGAAGAGGGAGUUCCUGAUCAUAUGAGGGAAUAUAGAGAGGCUCUUAUAGAGUUCAAUAAGAAAUUGGCUUUGGAUACUCGUGUCGAAGUCUCUCAGAUUUCCAUUGGGGAUGGUGUCACGCUCUGCAGACGCCUUAUAUGAUCAA
rnacentral:lncRNA from 1 species